CACGUAGGGCGCAAGCGUUGUCCGGAAUUAUUGGGCGUAAAGAGCUCGUAGGCGGCCGGUUGCGUCUGCUGUGAAAUCCCGGGGCUUAACCCCGGGCGUGCAGUGGAUACGGGCUGGCUGGAGGCAGGCAGGGGAGAAUGGAAUUCCCGGUGUAGCGGUGAAAUGCGCAGAUAUCGGGAGGAACACCGGUGGCGAAGGCGGUUCUCUGGGCCUGUGCUGACGCUGAGGAGCGAAAGCGUGGGGAGCGAACAGG
rnacentral:rRNA from 1 species